GAUGAACGCUGGCGGCGUGCCUAAUACAUGCAAGUCGAGCGAACAGACGAGGAGCUUGCUCCUCUGACGUUAGCGGCGGACGGGUGAGUAACACGUGGAUAACCUACCUAUAAGACUGGGAUAACUUCGGGAAACCGGAGCUAAUACCGGAUAAUAUAUUGAACCGCAUGGUUCAAUAGUGAAAGACGGUUUUGCUGUCAUUUUUAGAUGGAUCCGCGCCGCAUUAGCUAGUUGGUAAGGUAACGGCUUACCAAGGCAACGAUGCGUAGCCGACCUGAGAGGGUGAUCGGCCACACUGGAACUGAGACACGGUCCAGACUCCUACGGGAGGCAGCAGUAGGGAAUCUUCCGCAAUGGGCGAAAGCUUGACGGAGCAACGCCGCGUGAGUGAUGAAGGUCUUCGGAUCGUAAAACUCUGUUAUUAGGGAAGAACAAAUGUGUAAGUAACUAUGCACGUCUUGACGGUACCUAAUCAGAAAGCCACGGCUAACUACGUG
rnacentral:rRNA from 1 species